GACGAACGCUGGCGGCGUGCUUAACACAUGCAAGUCGAACGGAAAGGCCCUGCUUGCCGGGUGCUCGAGUGGCGAACGGGUGAGUAACACGUGGGUGAUCUGCCCCUUAUUUUGGGAUAAGCCUGGGAAACUGGGUCUAAUACUGGAUAGGACCAUGCUGUAGGUGGUGUGGUGGAAAGAUUAGUUUCGGUAAGGGAUGAGCUCGCGGCCUAUCAGCUUGUUGGUGGGGUAAUGGCCUACCAAGGCGUCGACGGGUAGCCGGCCUGAGAGGGUGGACGGCCACAUUGGGACUGAGAUACGACCCAGACUCCUACGGGAGGCAGCAGUGGGGAAUAUUGCACAAUGGGCGCAAGCCUGAUGCAGCGACGCCGCGUGGGGGAUGACGGCCUUCGGGUUGUAAACUCCUUUCAGCCAUGACGAAGCCCUUGUGGUGACGGUAGUGGUAGAAGAAGCACCGGCUAACUACGUG
rnacentral:rRNA from 1 species